rnacentral:rRNA from 1 species
UACGAAGGGGGCUAGCGUUGUUCGGAUUUACUGGGCGUAAAGCGCACGUAGGCGGAUCGUUAAGUCGGGGGUGAAAUCCUGGGGCUCAACCCCAGAACUGCCUUCGAUACUGGCGAUCUCGAGUCCGGAAGAGGUGAGUGGAACUCCUAGUGUAGAGGUGGAAUUCGUAGAUAUUAGGAAGAACACCAGUGGCGAAGGCGGCUCACUGGUCCGGUACUGACGCUGAGGUGCGAAGGCGUGGGGAGCAAACAGG